CACGUAGUUAGCCGGUGCUUAUUCAUAAAGUCCACUCACCACACCACACAGGCAUAGCUUGCCCCCCUAUAAAAGCGGUUUACAACCCGAAGGCCUCCAUCCCGCACGCGGCGUCGCUGCAUCAGGCUUGCGCCCAUUGUGCAAUAUUCCCCACUGCUGCCUCCCGUAGGAGUCUGGGCCGUAUCUCAGUCCCAAUGUGGCCGGUCGCCCUCUUAGGCCGGCUACCCGUCGACGCCUUGGUAGGCCAUCACCCCACCAACAAGCUGAUAGGACGCGACCCCAUCAUAUGGCACAAAAGCUUUCCCAACCAGACAUGCAUCCAGCUGGAGCAUUGGGUAUUACCCACCCGUUUCCAGGAGCUACUCCCCAACCAUACGGCAGGUUACGUCACGCAUUACUCACCCGUUCGCCACUCUCACCACAAACAAAAGCCCAGUGGACUCCCGUCACUUGCAUGUGUAAGCACGCCGCAGCGUCGUCUCGCGCACGGAUCGUAAAC
rnacentral:rRNA from 1 species